AUGUCACAAUCUGAUAAGGGGAUGCCUCAAGUUGGCAUGUUCUUUAAAAGUUCACAGGAGGCUUGGAUGUUUUGGAGAGCAUAUGGUGGUCGUGUUGGCUUUCAUGUGAGGAAAAGGUACAACAAUGUGAGCAAAUUUGAUGGUAAGGUAACCUCUUGCAGAUUUGUUUGUGCCAAUGAAGGUCAUCGCAAAAAGGGGCAAAGAUAA
rnacentral:rRNA from 1 species